rnacentral:lncRNA from 1 species
AACAUUUUGUGAUGGAAAAAAUCGGGUACUCUACUUUAUGGUGUUUCAUGUUUGUCUUUGUCAACAUCGGAUUAGAUUCAGCUGGUGCUGGAACGAAAACGAAAGACAUGUAUGCUCAUGUGGGCACAACCGCCCGACUACCAUGUCCAGUGAAUCCGGGAUUGUGUGGAAAACUGCACAGCGUUAAAUGGUACAAGGAUACUUCGAGAA